GAAGACAGCACAUCUUCCUUUGAAGCUGCCCGGUCUGUGGUACUUCUUUAGAGGGACCACGAGAGGCUGCGGGAUCCAGGGCUGCGAGGGAGCGGACACCGCAGAAAAGGUAACUCCUUGGGAAGCUCUGAUGACCGGACAGAUGAGCAGAAGCCGAAAGCUCAGGGAGAAAGAUCUACUUUUCCACGAACCGCUUUUCACGAGCGUCCCUAGGAGCCUGCGAACUCUGUGAGGGCAGGACUUAAGGUGCUUUGGGUUCCCUUCCAAAGGGGAGCAUGCCCACCCCUGCCCAACCGGUCCACCUGGCUGGAGCCCCAUGAGAAGCUGCCUGCUGGGGGUGUUGCAGUGUCAGAGGUCAGGUUGCACCCCCACCUCCCCGUGCCCCAACAUCCAGCACCCCGGUUCUGGAACACGUGUGUGGACUCAGAUGCACUGAGGCUGAAUUUGCAGGAACAGAGUUUGGAGCUGGCUAGCAGGGACCAUCUGAGUCCGAAGGUUUUGGGACCCGCCCUCCUGCCUGUCCUCCAGAGCAGCCCGAAGCUGAACUGCUUCCUGCAUCUCUGCAGAGCAGGGAGGUACAGACGAUGCUGGCAGCUCUCCUUCUCCUCUCAUGCCCCUGGACAUCCUCUGUGGUCACCUGCAGGUCUCCUCCAGCCAGCCGGCUGGCUCGCGGUAAGAACCGCCAGAGCACUUGCGAACGUCCAGGCAGUGGCCUCGCCUUGCCAGGGGACUUCAGAUGCCAGCCUCCAGUACCAGGAGGGAGAAAUGCCUCUUGUUGAAGCCGCCCCGUCUGGGGUAUCUGCUUUUGGCAGCUGAGCGGACUCAUACUGGUCUAGACUCACAGUCUGUAACCUCUGGGAGGAGGUCCAGGAAUGGAACCAUCCGAGAUGGACUCUCUAAUAUUUUCUGGGAGGAAUCAAGGGACUCCAAUGCUGGAAGCAAGGCCCCUGGAGGACCUCAGGGUGGUGCUGACAGCCCUUUGUGACUCAGGGACUCACCGGUGUCCGCCCAGGCAGUUCCCCUUUCCGUCGGCCUCAGGGAACUGCUCAGGAGAUCUUCUCAUGAGAGGAAUCCCGACUGCUCCACAGACAGGUGCCAGCGUUCAGACCCUGAGGCUGCCUCUGGCUCCGCAAGUGUGGAUGUGCCCAGGCAGGUCUCAGGACGGAGCCUCGAGAAGCAGGAAAGGCCGUGUGGAUGGAGCCCCUGGGGACGGAGAGGAGGAGGAAGGUGAGUGUCCAUUUGAGCAGCUCCCGUCUCUCUCCAUAC
rnacentral:lncRNA from 1 species